UACGAAGGGGGCUAGCGUUGCUCGGAAUCACUGGGCGUAAAGCGCACGUAGGCGGAUUGUUAAGUCAGGGGUGAAAUCCUGGAGCUCAACUCCAGAACUGCCUUUGAUACUGGCGAUCUCGAGUCCGGGAGAGGUGAGUGGAACUGCGAGUGUAGAGGUGAAAUUCGUAGAUAUCAGGAAGAACACCCGUGGCGGAAAGGGCGGCCUCUCUGGGGACGGUACUGACGCUGAGACGCGAAAGCGUGGGGAGCGAAACAGG
rnacentral:rRNA from 1 species